UGCCACGGAUUCCCAGCAGAGGCCUUCGUGCCUCAUUGCCACGUGCUCAGUACAGAGACCACGAAGAGAGGGAGUUCAGAGGGAGCAGGCCAAGCGAGCGGCAGAGAUGGCUUGGACUACCUGUUGGGGGAAGCUGGUGAGGCGUCGCUACCUGUGGUGGGGCCUGAUGUGGCAAUUUCGACAACUGCUGCCAUUCCCCAUGUUUGGUCGGAAAGUGCAUCAGAGGGCCUGGAUUCUGGAUUCGCGUUGGGAAUCCAGAGGUGGACACACCAAACCAAGUGGCGGGGAAGCUGGGAGCUCCCACAGCUGCCCCUGAGGAAGAGUACUCUUAAAGCUCGAAACGCGUCAGGCAAUGACUGAAUAAAGAACUGAUUGACAUUCAUUCAGCAUCUCUGUGGAUUUUUACCCCUUUUCCUCUUGGUUUUUCAUGCUGCGUCAUUUUCCUCCUUCUUCCCUUCCCCCCUUUCUUUUCCUGGAUUCAUGUUUCCCAACUUGUUGAGAAAUAGCUUGGCUUCUUUCUGAGCCAAUCCAAUGGGAGUGGAGUGGGGUGGCUUGCUCAUCCCUAUGUAUUAGAUAUUCUCUCUUUUUUCCUGCUCUCCAUUCACUUUCUGUGAAAUGGAGUUCUAGAAACAGAAACAUCUUCGAGGGAGACCAUCUCCACUCAUGAAACCGACCUACCAUAGGCAGCUGCUUCUUGUCUCUCACCUGUCCCAUCUAAGUGCCAGCAUCUUAACCAGUUCAAGACAGCAAGGAUGGAUCACUCCCAGAGGCCAGAGAGAGUUUUCCUGAAACUUCCAGCAAAGUAUAACAAGCUUGUGUUAUGCUCACAGGGAAUGAUCCAACGUCACAUUAUUAUCACAGGGAAUGGCCCAACGUUCACCAGACAUGCCACUACAGAAGAACGUUGGAUGUUUAUACGUUGCUGUUUCUCCAAAUGGUCUUCCAACCAAAUGCCAUUCCUCUCUUCAAUGAUUGUCACGCAACCCAACUGUCAAACAAUAAAAUAACAUUUGUUUCUGA